GGGGGCGACAGGCCUCGACGGGGGUUAUGAGGUCUGAGUCGCAUGCCGUGGCUCUGUCACCACGUUAAAAGGCAGAAAAAAACACAAAAGCCAAUACAGAACUGGCACUCGCAGCUUAAUAAAGUUGCGCGCUUCUCUGGGAAUGCCUGUGGCUCAGAAGAGGCGUCAGAAAGCAGGCUGGCCUAAAGGUAUUGCCCUUGCUCUUUAGGUAAGACUUAAAGGGAUAGGAUUCAGGAAAGCCCUUUUACUGGCGAUCCUGAUUCUGAAACAUAAGUAAGUAAAAUAAGCAUGUAGACGCUCAGAAGUAGUACUUCCGGACCCGGGUUCGAAUCCCGGCGCCUCCACCA
rnacentral:tmRNA from 1 species